CCUUGGGCUCCCGAAGUGCUGGGAUUACAGGCGUGAGCCACUGCGCCCAGUCUUAAAAGAAAAAUCUGUUUUCUAAAUGAGAGACUUGAGUUUAGUUCUCAUGAACAUAACUUUUUCAUACUAGGUUUCAGACCUGGUAUCAUUAAAUAUAAUUCAUUACAAAGACUUUUUCUAAUGUCUUCAAAUUCUUUAAGUCACCUUCAACAAGAAACUGUACAAGAAGCAAGCUACAACCUUACAGCAAGUGGUAAAUGUAUAUUUAUUGCUUUCCCCCUACCAGACAGAAACUCCUUUCUUGUUACUAACCAGAAUAGGAAUCAUUCACAAUCUUCAACUUGUGCUUCAAGGAUCUGAUCCUUCUUUUUACUCUGGCAAUUCUUUCUCUUUUACCAUCAAGUGUAAUGUGGACCUUUCUUUUGAUUGUGCCAACAGACUUCCAAUCUAACUGCAUCUGUUCAUAUAAACUAUAUCAAAAUAAUGCUAAAGCUUUUCUUCAAUCUUACAGAUAUUGCAAUAUUCAUCUUAAUACUUCCUUAAGAUUCAUCUAAUUGCAGUUGAUUUUACAACCACUAGUAUCUCAGGGGACACCUAUACUGAUUAAUGGAACACUGGUUAGGAAGCUCUGCUCAACUAUCCAACUGAAUUCAUACCCAUCCUCCAAGAAUCAAGAGCCACCUAUUUCAUAUUACUGAUCUCAAUAAAAUUGUUCCCAAAAUAUUCUACUUUUACUGUUUUUAACUGUUUUCACGAUAAUAAACUACAUUUAGUAGUGAAUAGUGUUGCCUCUCCAACAUCCAUUUCACCCAUACAUAUGGUAAGUAGAGCAGCCUCACUAUUUGGGUGAGAUCAUUUCCAGCAACAGAUCUAGGCACAAAAGGGUCUCCUCAUUCUAUCAGGAUAAUCCCAUUCCUUUUGCUACCUCAGUAACCCAGAACUAAAAAUUGGUUGAGAGGUGGCUCAACAGAAUGUUUUCAAGAUUUUUUAAUAAUUAUGGGAGUGAAUGCUUACAGCCCUUUCUCUGGUGCUGUUUGCUACCUUGCUACCAUGUAGGGAACUGGUUUGAGGAAGGAUUCAACCCACAAGAAGGGUGCAGAGUAGAACUAAAAAGAAAAGACAGAGGCCUGAAUCAACCACAUUUGAAGGUUAAGAUUCUCAGGUUGUUAAAGAGGGGCAGAAAAAUCUCAAGAAAUCCUGUCCUCACGCAAUCUUUGUGUUUUUUGGAACAACUCUUUAUGAGGUAUCAGUGAGUAUUCAGGGGAAAAAAAAGGGUAUCUUCGUAAAAUGAAUUUAUGAAGUAAUUCAUACUAUUUUACAGAUUCACAAUAUAAACACUAGCUAAAGCUACAAAAAGCCUUGCUAUAAGUAAAACUAUUUGUUCAAUCAGCAUUUCCCAAACCUAUUUGAUCAUUUUAAAAAACUGUCAAAAUCACAAGUAACACUAAUGUGAUCUCCUAAACACACUGAAAAAA
rnacentral:lncRNA from 1 species